CUCCCAAAAAUAAAUAAACAGUAAAAAAAAAUUUUUAAAUAAAAAGACUGUCUAAGAUAAGUGUGGCAAGAGGGCUAAGACACAAUGAAGAAAAAGGUUUCUCCAAAAAGUGAUUCAGACGUGAAUCUGAAUCGGCUAAAGCUCUGAACUGCCACUUUGAUCGCUCUAAUCCUGACGACAAAUGUGCCAUCUAACAUAAAUCUCCCUUGUUCUGAACUCAGGCUGGAAUUAUUUAGAAAGGCAAUCAGAGGAUGGCUAAAUGAUGGCCACUUCUUAUUGCUAGAGUACAUGGAUAUGUUUUCAUUAUGCUAACAAGACUUGGUGUGGUGAGAGUGUUUCAAGGAAGAAUUUCCUAAGCCCUGCAUUUAAUUUACAUUUUGCAAAACCCCAUUUUUAAUCAGACUCUUUAUUAAAAGCAUACUCAUUGGGAGCUAAUGGUAAGUUAGAGAAAAUAAGUUUAAAUCCACAGUGCAGCUGUUCUCCCACGUGCACUAGUUACAUUACACCAGCAUUUGGAGAUUGUACAGAAACGGGAGAACCUAACAGGACAGCUACUUCAGCUCAGAUACCCCAUAAAUUAUUCAAAACGUACGCACUGCGGUCUAACAUACAUAUAUCUGCUACGUACGUAAUAAUUAUUCCCUCACAAGUGUUUUUAAUCAUUUGGUAUUUAAUUACUGCGCGCUAUUUGUCUUGGGAAGGCAGUCUGAGAUGGGAGUUAGGGCAGAGAGAGGAGGCUGGCUUUCAUCAAACCAAUGGAGAAACCGCUUGAUUUUAAACACAGCUUUUUUUGCUUUUGUACCUGGUGCAAAACAUUAGGCUGUACUCUCUGUUUCCCAGAGUCUAGGAUUUUCAUUGGUGUUUUCUUUACAAAGGAGGGAUGGGGGCUGUGACUUCCCUCCACAGUCUCCCAGGCGGGGCUCCAGAUGCCCUUCUUAAGGAGACAAAGCAUAAACUGCAUUUUAUAAGAGGUUCUAUUUGCAGAGGUCAUUUUGAUCAAGUGUACAGACCCACUUGUUAUUACCAUUUAACUUUGCAACUGUCAUGGGAUUGUUUAAUCCAUCAUCAAUGCAUGGCCAAAUAUGUAUGUGUGUAAGCAUACGGAUAUGCAUAGGUGGUUAUAUAAAUGUGCGUUUGUGUGUCUUUGUGGAUAAAAAAUUUUCUUUAAACAACCGGAGCAAGCUAAUGUAAUGGAAAUUCUGCUCAUUUAGAUGUUUUAGUCUUGAAGUUGAUUUUCCUAUGACAAGAGAGUAAGUUACAUUGAACCUUUCAUCUCAUUACCGUGUAAGUAAACAGACCUCAUCUAUAUAGCUAGACCAAAUCAGCCAAAGAGCCAAAUACUCUGUGAUCCACCAUCAAGGGGAGAAAACAAUUAUUUUAAGAAGCUUGUUUUCAACCCAGAUGGUUUGGUUCUGCACAAAAUCACUUGAUUAUGUGCUUCUCUCAACUUUGAAACUAUGGACCUAUCUGUCCAUGUUUAACAAGAAAGUAAAUGCCACACAUUUGUAACAAAUUAAGUUAAUGGGUUUAAAGCACGUAGCACAAAGGGGGAAGUGGGACUUCUUUUGGGGUACAACUGGAGAGUAUGGCCAAGUCUAGGUAGGCAGGUCUGGAGUCUUGGCUCAGUGGACUAUAAGCUGCAGUCCCUUGGAAUGCACUCAAACCCAGACCAGAAACCUGUUUGUUUGUUUGUUUGUUUUUAUUUGAUAUUUAUUUAUUUUUAAGAGAGCAAGAGCAGGGGAGGGACAAAGAGAAAGGGAGUGAGAGAGAAUCCCAAGCAGGCUGCAUGCCCAGCACAGAGCCUACUGUGGGGCUCGAACCCACAAACCAUGAGAACAUGACCUGAGCCGAAAUCAAGAGUUGGAUACUCAAUCGACUGAGCCACCCAGGUGCCCCAGAAACCCAGUUCUGAUGCAAGAAAGAGUGAGUUAGGGGAACCGCCAUGAUGCAAAGGAAAGCUAAAGGCGUUGUUUUGGGUUUUUUGUGUCUCUUACUUUUUAUAAUGCCUAAAUAAAUCUUCAGGCCAUAUUCUCAGAACUCUAGGCCAGGGAUUACAACUCAAAUGCCUUCAAGUAAAGUAAUUGAGUGAAGCAGGCACACAUAAUAAAAUUAUUUCUCUAUGAUGAGAAAUACAACAAUGUAAGUCCAAUGACAAAUGGCAGUGGACACAGGGACCUUAAUGUUAGGAGGCAACAGGGACUUCUGUGGACAAAACCAAACUCAAAAUAAAAACUGCCUGCACCUUCCAGAGAGGGCUACUGCCACUAGCUUUAUGCCAUGGAAGAGAGGGCCUAAGCUGAUGGAUAUUUGGAGUUUUCAAGAGUAGCCACAAAUUCAGAUGUUCAUAUAAAUGUUCCAAUUUUAAAAUGUUGGCUCAGUUUUAUUUUUAAGAACAUGCAGUUCAAAUCAAACACCAGUUUGCAUCAUCUGUAGGCAAAGGAGGAAUCCACAAGAAGUAAAAUGAUGCCCUAAAUAUUGGUCCUCUGUGGGAGAACAAGUCAGGGAUUAUCCCUUGCUAUCUAAGGUGCUAUUUAUUCACACAUACACACGGACAUGAUGGAUGUAUGGCUGGAGGACAGACGUCUGUGGGUAUAUACAGGUGUGCAUAGAAAAGCCCUUCGACAUAUUGGGAGAAAAUGCAAGAACUGGGUAUGUACCCUGAUGUGGUUCCCAUGACACUUCCAAUCUGUAAGAGAAGUUGCAAGUCAAGGUAGGGGUUAGGUGGGUGUUGCGAGCAUGACUGAGGAGUCUCAUACACAGGGUUCGUGAAAUGUGUGCCUCUAUAUAAGAAAUAACUGCAGUUCCUCCAUGGGUCUUACAUGGGAAGCAAUUUUGGUUGAAACAGAGGUUGAAUGAACACCUUUAUCAUUCUUUAUGAAAUAGGGUAAUCAGGUUUGGAAGAAUUGCAGUGAACUUUAUUACCUGGUUUGCUGUUUUAUAUUAUUUCAGGCCAAGAAAGAUCUGUAAUAAGCCAUGUUUGCUGGUCUCUCAAUGACUUUUUUAUCCUGUUUCCUUGCACGGUUUGUUACUCUGAUUGUGGGUGUUCCACAAUCCCUUGUCAUAAGAGGAAGAACUCUCUGGAGCCACCUUAGGAGCAAUCCAUCAAUAGCACUGUGUCCCUUCUUGGUUUGGCAGUGUGGUCCAUGAAAGGUCUGGGAUUUGGAGAUGCUGUUAAUUCAGCUUCUUCUUAGUCUCCUGCCCUCUCCACCACUCAUGCUUCUUGACAGCAGGAUUCAUUCCCAUAGAGUGACAUCAGCUUUGCUGGAAAACUGCCCUCAGCCCUCCGCAGACCAAGCCGUGGGCUGCAUGCAACAUAGGCAGAUUAGGAAGAGAGUUUGGGCAAGAGUGAGAAGGCCAGAAGGAAGAGGUGACUUGACCGUCACUGAUGUGACUGACAUGGUCACCAUUCCUUCCAGCACAUUCACAAGGAAUUUAACACAGCCACUCAAAAAAUGACUAUGCAAAUGUGAUAAUACAGAAGUGCUUACUACAAUAAGAAAUAUAUAUUUUAAGUUUAUUUAUUUAUUUUUGCGAGUGAGCAGGGGAGGGGGCAGAGAAAGGAGAGAGAAUCCCAAGCAGGCUCUGUGCUGACAGCACAGAGCCCGAUGCAGGGCUUAAACUCACGAACUGUGAAAUCAUGAUCUGAGCUGAAAUCAAGAGUCAGACACUUAACUGACUUAGCCACACAGGUGCCCCAAGAAAUUAUAUGCUAAUCUACUUUCAAAAUAGGCAGUGCAUGAAAAUGGAUCAAAAUUCAAAAGAUUCCAGAGGUAUACAAUGAAAAAUUUUCUUCUCACUUCUAUAUAUGGCCACUCAGGUUGUGAUGUGAUGUUAAGUGAAAAAAGAACAGCGUAAAGCCAAACCUUUCUCCUUCUCUUCCCCCCUCCCUCCCUCUCCCCACCCCCUCUCAACAUGUAUAUUUAUUUAUAAAUUUAUUUGCAAGCAUACACACACACACACACACACACACACACACACACACACACACACACACAGAUGUAUCCAUAGAAGACUGAAAGAAAUAAGCAAAAUGGUUUCAGUGGUUGAGAAGGAGGAUUAUAGAUAAUUGCUUCUACCUUCCUAUAUUUUCAAAAGUGUCUUUCUUGUGUGUGUAUUACUCUAAGGAAAUAAUAAGUUUUUUUUGUUUCACAUAUAAUACCAUCACUGAAGUCUGUAAAGCAAAAUUGGACAUGACCGAUAAUCAGUAAAGAAAGAAAGAAAGGUCACUCAUUUCGUUGUAACCCAGAACUCUCCAUCGAUGGUAACUAAUGUUUUUGCACACUGCUUUCCUGGCCUUUGCAUUUACAUGAUCGUACUUGAACACUGCUGGAUAACUGGCCUUCUGAUUAGCAAAAUAUUCAGGAUAUCUUUUCUGUUACUUACACAAGAGAAAAAUUAUUCGAAGGAAGAAUGUUGCAUGUACACUCAGACAGGUGGAAAAGCUGUGGGUAAAUUUGCACCCUGAUAAAUCAGCAACAGAGAUGAGGAAAAGGACUGUGGUCAGUUGUGUUCCAGUGAUUCCCCCAUUGGGUAUGAGGUCCUAGCACCAGACUGCCCUCCUCACAGCCGUGGUUCUGCAAGGACAUGGGGCUCGGCGGAACAGAGAGCCUGGCAUCAGCUGCUUGGAGCACAGAGACUUAAAAUAGUUGCUGAGAAAGUAUAAAAAAAAAAAAUCCCUCCCUUGAUCCCAGGGACAGUAAAAGGGGGCUCUGUAUGUAUAAUCACUCACUUUAAUGUUAACUUUCAAGUACGCAUAAGUAAUCUAUGAAUACUUUACUAUAAACAUUACAAUACAGAAAUACCAAAAUUAUAAAGUAUAUGGUUUGGGCCAUGUAUUUUUUCUUUUCCUCUAUUUUAUUAUUGAAAAAAAAUGUAGAUUAUUCCCCUUAAUUCUUAUCUCCCAAUCCCACUCCUCACUGGAGAGAGAACCAUUUGGGAUCUAGGCAGAACUUUUCUGAAUGUUGGAUUUGCAUCCAAACCUAUAAUCACACACAGAUACAUAAUGAAUGGAUGCUUUUUUUUUAAUUAAACUUAAACUCUGUUUUUUUAUCCUCAUGGGCUCUAAAUCUCAGUUAUUCUAAAGCUCUUUUCCAAAGCAAUAAUGUUUCCCACAUAUGAAUCACCAAAUGCUAAAUGUGCUCUUCUCAGCAAAUGCAAUUCAUUUGAGAAUAACUCCCAAUAAAUUGCCUGUGAUGUUUCUUUAUUGCUGGAGACAAUGGACAAUGCCACGGCAACGAGGGGUGCACACCAAACCAGUCAUUAGUUUUAAUGUGGUCUGGCAGUUUUAAUCCUUUCUGUAUUUUUAAGUGUAAUAGCAUGGUGUGCUGUGUUAAGAUAUUUUUUUUUUCAUUCUUUUCUUUCUUGAACAGUAAAAUACAGAGGGAAGGUGGGGAGCAGAAUGUGAUAUUUUCCUUACAAGAAAACACAGUGCCUACCCCAUUUCUGCAGACUCUGAGCGAUGUGGGGCAGAAAUUAGGACUUGCUGGUAGUUAGGGUUCCGGGCUUGCUGUUUCCAGCAUGCCCACUCAGUCCUGUCUCACAGGACCUUAUAUUUCUUUAGCUCCAAUCCCCUCUGAAUGCUUUGCUGCCUAACACUCAAAGCCUCAGCCCAGAAUUUAACCAAGAAACUAACUUCCAUACGCAAGUUUAUGCUACGUGAUGUGGGAUGUCAGUUAAAAUCUUUUCAAAAGAUGGGGUGCCUGGGUGGCUCAGUUGGUUAAGUGUCUAACUUUGGUCUAGGUCAUGAUAUCGUGAUUUGUGAAUUAGAGUCCCGUGUUGGGCUCUGUGCUGACAGCUCGGAGCUUAGAGCCUGCUUCAGAUUCUGUCUCCCUCUCUCUCUGCCCCGCUCUGCUCAUGUUCUGUCUCUCAAAAAUAAAUAAAUGUUAAAAAAAUUUUUUUUAAUCUUUUCAAAAGAGAGUGCCUCUUCAAAUUCUGUUCUAUCCCCAUCACCUCAUCACAAAUGCUAAGCUUCAGUGUGACCCCAAUAAAUGAAAGAUGUUGAAAUAAAAUAGUAUUUAACUUCAGAAUAUUUGGCAAUAUUAAACCAGGAAAAUACCAUCUUCUUUCCAAGUCAAAAGGUCUAGACCUCAUCUCCAUGUUCAUGGGUACCAAAGUCUGUCCUCCUUUCUAACUGUGAUACAAGAAGAAGUGGGGGCACGAGAUGGAUGGGAUUAACCGGGCCCCUCCAAGUAACUGUUGGAGUUUCACAAGGGCAGGACAAGGCUCUGGAGUCAGACAUGUUCAAUCCCAACCUCUCCUUGCCUUGUGCCCCUGGGCAAGUUGCCCAGUACUUGUUCUGUGGUCUCCUUAACAUGUACGAUUAGAACAGUGGUAUUUGUCUCAGCAUUUUGGAAGUGGAAGUAGACACAUAGUAGGUCCUUAUCAAGUAAAUGUUCAUCUCUCUGCACUAAGUGCAGACAUAAGCUAGGACUCCAAGUAUCUCCUGGUGCUCUGUGGCUACAUCCCUGUUGGGGAGCAGAGUUUGGAAAUCUCUUCUUUUUAAAGAAGGUUGUGAGAUUAGAACACUGAGGGACCCCAGGAUUAUCUAGAACUUCUGUGCCAGCCCAGGGCACCCUUGUGCUACCAAAACUAUGGCACCAAGGAACUGCCCUCUCCCAGAGAUCAGAGAUGUGACCCCUUUCGCUAUGGGUUCUUCUAAUUAUGCACAUGUGUCUAUCUGAAUGUAUUAUCUCCAUAGCAAUUCACCCUCCUGCCAUUAUGCCUGCCCCCAGAGCUGGAAUUAGCAUUUUGCAGAGAUGUCUGGGAGUUUUUCCUGCAUUCUCCUGAUAGGAAAGAAAAAUUGAAACCUAUGCCAAAAUGCUUGAAAGAAUACUAGCAACGGAUAAGGGCUAGUUAAGCAUGUGCAAGGUGUUUUUAUCACGAUUACUAUUUCUAAAGUAAAGUUUGCUGGAUUAGCCCCCCAGGGGAAGUAAGGGUCAGAAUGUUUAAAGUUUCAUAGCUUUCCUCUCUGAGGGGAGCUCUGAUUCACUGCUGUGAAUAUACACAGACUGAUUAGCAGAAAUGGAGCAUCAGGCAAUUUGGGGUUUUUUUCCCUUCCCUAUUCAGCUUCUCACUAAUCUCCCCCCUCCAAGCAAGCCUAGCAGGACAGGCCUGGAGGGAAGUGAAAUGCAUUUUUUUUUUCUUACCUAGAACAUGUAGCCCCCAAGUCACUCAACUGUAAGCAAGUGUAGAUGAGGUCAGACUUUGAGUCUUCAUGGAGUACAGUCUUCCCGCUCUGAACGUUUGUACGCUCCUGGAAAUGGAGCGCGAGGGACAGAAUUCUGGAAGCAGGCAUGAUGGGGCCUUGGUGGUAGCCCUCUCUCCUGAGUUCUCCGACAAGGCUUUGAUCCUCGUGCCUCAGCUUGGAAGCAGUUGGUAAUGCUCAAAACCUGUCAAAGCACCCUGGGUUAUUGGGGGUGCAACAAAGCCUGGCUCCCCAUCACCUCACCACCUCAGUCAGAGAAGAUCCAGUGUGAGCUAUUUUGUACUUCAGGGCACUACGGAAAUCAUUCAUUGGACAAAACAA